rnacentral:rRNA from 1 species
AUGCUAAAGCUGGUUUUUUCAGAUGGUGGGGCAGCUGAUUCUGCAAGUCCUGUGACCCCCUUCACUAAAGCUGGGUUCUUCAGCAAGAUCUCAUUUUGGUGGUUGAAUCCUCUACUGAAGGUGGGCUACAAGAAACCCCUUGAGGACAAAGACAUACCACUUCUAGGCGCCACAGAUCGAGCACACAACCAGUACAUGAUGUUCAUGGAGAAGCUGAAUGGCAAGAAGCAGUCGCCGCCACAUGACCCACCAUCAUUCUUAUGGACUAUUGUUUCUUCUCACAAGCGUGCCAUCUUGGUCUCCGGUUUCUUUGCUUUGCUCAAGGUUCUCACCUUGUCUACAGGCCCAAUAAUUCUCAAGGCAUUCAUCAAUGUCUCACUUGGGAAAGGGACCUUUAAACACGAAGGCUAUGUGCUCGCUGCGUUACUGUUCGUCUGCAAAUGCUGUGAAUCAUUGUCACAGAGACAGUGGUAUUUCCGCACUCGGAGAUUAGGACUGCAGGUGAGGUCACUCCUAUCAGCAGCUAUUUAUAAGAAACAACAAAAGCUAUCGAAUGCAGCAAAAAUGAAGCACUCUUCUGGAGAAAUUAUGAACUAUGUGACCGUCGACGCGUAUCGGAUUGGGGAAUUCCCAUACUGGUUCCAUCAAUCAUGGACAUCUAGUGUUCAACUCUGCAUUGCUCUGGCAAUUCUAUACAAUGCGGUUGGUGCUGCAAUGAUUUCAUCUUUAGUUGUCAUUAUUAUCACUGUACUGUGCAGCGUUCCAUUGGCCAGACUGCAACACAAAUUUCAGAGUAAACUUAUGGAAGCACAAGAUGUGAGAUUGAAGGCCAUGUCUGAGUCAUUAGUUCAUAUGAAGAUCUUGAAACUUUAUGCAUGGGAAGCUCACUUCAAGAAGGUCAUCGAGGGAUUGAGGGAGGUUGAGUACAAGUGGUUGUCUGCAUUCCAGCUUAGGAGGACCUACAACGGUUGCCUGUUCUGGUCGUCUCCUGUUUUGGUGUCAGCGGCGACCUUUGUAACAUGCUAUCUUUUGAAAACCCCUCUUGAUGUUAGCAAUGUUUUCACCUUUGUGGCUACUCUACGUCUUGUGCAAGACCCUGUUAUAUUGAUGCCGGAUGUUAUUGCUGUUGUGAUACAAGCUAAGGUUGCUUUCACUCGGAUAUCAAAGUUCCUUGAUGCACCUGAGCUAAACGGACAAGUUAGGAAGAAAUACUAUAGUGGCAUUGAUUAUCCUAUAGUGAUGAAAUCGUGUAGCUUCUCGUGGGAAGAGAAUACAUCAAAACCAACUCUAAAGAAUAUAAAUCUGGUAGCCAAAGCUGGAGAAAAAAUAGCAAUAUGUGGAGAGGUAGGUUCAGGUAAGUCGACGCUUUUGGCUGCUGUACUCGGAGAGGUCCCCAGAACUGAAGGCAUGAUCCAAGUCUGUGGGAAAAUAGCAUAUAUUUCUCAGAAUGCAUGGAUCCAAACAGGAACCGUGCAAGACAAUAUUCUCUUUGGAUCGCUGAUGGACGGGGAAAGAUACCACAACACAGUCGCGAGGUGCUCGUUGGUCAAGGACCUUGAAAUGUUGCCAUAUGGAGAUUGCACACAAAUUGGGGAGAGAGGAGUAAAUCUUAGUGGCGGUCAGAAGCAGCGCGUUCAGCUUGCUCGUGCACUAUACCAAAAUGCAGACAUCUAUCUUCUUGAUGAUCCUUUCAGUGCUGUUGAUGCUCAUACAGCCACAAGUCUCUUUAAUGAAUAUGUCAUGGGUGCUCUAUCAGACAAGACUGUUCUUUUGGUGACACACCAAGUGGAUUUUCUACCUGUAUUUGACUCCAUUUUGUUAAUAUCAGACGGAGUGGUCAUUCAGUCUGCACCUUAUCAAGAUCUAUUGGCAGAUUGUGACGAAUUUAAAGACCUUGUAAAUGCCCAUAAAAAUACUAUUGGUGUUUCAGAUCUUAAUAGCAGUAUAUCCCCUCAAGGAUCUAAGGAAGUAUCAAUAAAGGAGACGGAUGGUAUUCAUACAGAGUCUGUGAAGCCAUCGCUGGCGGAUCAACUGAUAAAGAAAGAGGAAAGAGGAACAGGGGAUGCAGGUGUUAAGCCUUAUAUGCUUUACUUGCACCAGAACAAAGGAUUCCUGUAUUUAUCUUUUUGUAUCAUUUCUCACAUGAUUUUCAUUGCUGGACAAAUAUCACAAAAUGCAUGGAUGGCUGCUAAUGUCCAAAAUCCUCAUGUUACUACACUGAAGUUAAUUUCUGUGUACAUCAUUAUCGGAGUUUGCUCGAUGUUUUUCUUGCUAUCAAGAUCUUUAUCAGUCGUUGUUCUUGGGAUUCAGACAUCAAGAUCCUUAUUUUCCCAGUUACUCGAUUCAUUGUUCCGUGCACCUAUGUCCUUUUUUGAUUCUACUCCUCUAGGACGGGUUCUUAGCCGGGUCUCUUCUGAUUUGAGUAUCGUUGACCUCGAUGUUCCAUUUGCCUUCCUGUUUAGCCUUGGUUCCAGCAUAAAUGCAUAUAGCAAUUUAGUGGUAUUGGCUGUUGUUACAUGGCAAGUUCUGUUUGUGUCCAUUCCAAUGAUAGUUUUAGCAACUAGGUUGCAGAGGUACUAUCUAGCGUCGGCCAAGGAAUUGAUGCGGAUCAAUGGUACUACGAAAUCUGCUCUAGCGAAUCACUUAGGUGAAUCAAUUUCAGGGGCUAUAACAAUAAGGGCCUUUGAGGAAGAAGAUCGAUUCUUUGCUAACAAUUUGGAUCUUGUUGACAAGAAUGCAAGUCCAUAUUUCUAUAAUUUUGCAGCAACUGAAUGGUUGAUUCUACGUCUAGAGAUAAUGAGUGCUGCAGUUCUGUCUUUUUCUGCCUUUGUCAUGGCCCUCCUUCCACGAGGAACCUUUAGCCCAGGUUUUGUUGGAAUGGCAUUGUCCUAUGGUCUUACGCUAAAUACGUCAUUUGUUUCAUGUAUUCAAAACCAAUGCAACCUUGCGAAUAAAAUAAUCUCAGUGGAACGGGUGAGCCAGUACAUGGACAUACAAAGUGAAGCAGCAGAAGUUGUUGAAGAAAAUCGACCGUUGCCAGAUUGGCCCCAAGAUGGCAAUUUAGAGCUUAUAGAUUUGAAGGUAAUCAAAUAUAAUAUUUACAUGUACAACAUACAAGGUAAAAUCUAA